GUGCUGGCUUCAUCAGCACAUACACUAAAAUUGGAAUGAUACAGAGAAGAUCACCAUGGACCCUGCACAGGGAUGACAUGCAAAUUCGUAAAGUAAUCCAAAGUUUU